rnacentral:rRNA from 1 species
ACAGGGAUUGCCCUAGUAACGGCGAGUGAAGCGGCAACAGCUCAAAUUUGAAAGCUAGCCUUCGGGUUCGCAUUGUAAUUUGUAGAGGAUGAUUUGGGGAAGCCGCCUGUCUAAGUUCCUUGGAACAGGACGUCAUAGAGGGUGAGAAUCCCGUAUGUGACAGGAAAUGGCACCCUAUGUAAAUCUCCUUCGACGAGUCGAGUUGUUUGGGAAUGCAGCUCUAAAUGGGAGGUAAAUUUCUUCUAAAGCUAAAUAUUGGCGAGAGACCGAUAGCGCACAAGUAGAGUGAUCGAAAGAUGAAAAGCACUUUGGAAAGAGAGUUAAAAAGCACGUGAAAUUGUUGAAAGGGAAGCGCUUGCAAUCAGACUUGUUUAAACUGUUCGGCCGGUCUUCUGACCGGUUUACUCAGUUUGGACAGGCCAGCAUCAGUUUCGGCGGCCGGAUAAAGGCUCUGGGAAUGUGGCCUCCACUUCGGUGGAGGUGUUAUAGCCCAGGGUGUAAUACGGCCA